AACGAACGCUGGCGGCAUGCCUAACACAUGCAAGUCGAACGAGACCUUCGGGUCUAGUGGCGCACGGGUGCGUAACGCGUGGGAACCUGCCCUUAGGUUCGGAAUAACUCCCCGAAAGGGGUGCUAAUACCGGAUAAUGUCUUCGGACCAAAGAUUUAUCGCCUUUGGAUGGGCCCGAGUUGGAUUAGCUAGUUGGUAGGGUAAAAGCCUACCAAGGCGACGAUCCAUAGCUGGUCUGAGAGGAUGAUCAGCCACACUGGGACUGAGACACGGCCCAGACUCCUACGGGAGGCAGCAGUGGGGAAUAUUGGACAAUGGGCGAAAGCCUGAUCCAGCAAUGCCGCGUGAGUGAUGAAGGCCUUAGGGUUGUAAAGCUCUUUUACCCGGGAUGAUAAUGACAGUACCGGGAGAAUAAGCUCCGGCUAACUCCGU
rnacentral:rRNA from 1 species